UCCGGAGGGUGCGAGCGUUGUCCGGAAUCACUGGGCGUAAAGGGCGCGUAGGCGGCGCGGGAAGUCAUCGGGUAAAGCUCAGGGCUCAACUCUGAGUCGGCCGGUGAUACUCUCGUGCUUGAGCACUGUAGAGGCAGGUGGAAUUCCGGGUGUAGCGGUGGAAUGCGUAGAGAUCCGGAAGAACACCGGUGGCGAAGGCGGCCUGCUGGGCAGUAGCUGACGCUGAUGCGCGACAGCGUGGGGAGCAAACAGG
rnacentral:rRNA from 1 species